UCCUCCCUCUUUCUUCGUGCUUAACACAUGCAAGUCGAACGGAAAGGCCCUUCGGGGUACUCGAGUGGCGAACGGGUGAGUAACACGUGGGUGAUCUGCCCUGCACUUUGGGAUAAGCCUGGGAAACUGGGUCUAAUACCGAAUAUGAUCAUCGGCUUCAUGGUCGGUGGUGGAAAGCUUUUGCGGUGUGGGAUGGGCCCGCGGCCUAUCAGCUUGUUGGUGGGGUAAUGGCCUACCAAGGCGACGACGGGUAGCCGGCCUGAGAGGGUGACCGGCCACACUGGGACUGAGAUACGGCCCAGACUCCUACGGGAGGCAGCAGUGGGGAAUAUUGCACAAUGGGCGCAAGCCUGAUGCAGCGACGCCGCGUGAGGGAUGACGGCCUUCGGGUUGUAAACCUCUUUCAGCACAGACGAAGCGCAAGUGACGGUAUGUGCAGAAGAAGGACCGGCCAACUACGUG
rnacentral:rRNA from 1 species